rnacentral:rRNA from 1 species
AUUGAACGCUGGCGGCAGGCCUAACACAUGCAAGUCGAACGAGUGGCGGACGGGUGAGUAAUGUCUGGGAAACUGCCCGAUGGAGGGGGAUAACUACUGGAAACGGUAGCUAAUACCGCAUACCAUCGGAUGUGCCCAGAUGGGAUUAGAUAGUAGGUGGGGUAAAGGCUCACGUAGGCGACGAUCCCUAGCAGGUCUGAGAGGAUGGCCGUCCACACUGUAGCUGGUACGCGGUACAGACUCCUACGGGAGGCAGCAGGGGGGAAUAUUGCACAAUGGGCGCAAGCCUGAUGCAGCCAUGCCGCGUGUAUGAAGAAGGCCUUCGGGGUGUAAAGUACUUUCAGCGAGGAGGCGUUACUCGCAGAAGAAGCACCGGCUAACUCCGUGCCAGCCGCCGCGGUAAUAC